UACGUAGGGGGCAAGCGUUGUCCGGAUUUAUUGGGCGUAAAGAGCGUGUAGGCGGCCAUGCAGGUCCGUUGUGAAAACUCGAGGCUCAACCUCGAGACGCCGAUGGAAACCGCAUGGCUAGAGUCCGGAAGAGGAGAGUGGAAUUCCUGGUGUAGCGGUGAAAUGCGCAGAUAUCAGGAAGAACACCGGUGGCGAAGGCGGUUCUCUGGGCCUGCACUGACGCUCAUGCACGAAAGCGUGGGGAGCAAACAGG
rnacentral:rRNA from 1 species